rnacentral:rRNA from 1 species
GACGAACGCUGGCGGCGUGCCUAAUACAUGCAAGUCGAGCGAACAGAAGAGAAGCUUGCUUCUCGGAUGUUAGCGGCGGACGGGUGAGUAACACGUGGGCAACCUGCCCUUAAGACUGGGAUAACUCCGGGAAACCGGGGCUAAUACCGGAUAAUGCUUUUGUCUUCAUGGACGAGAGCUGAAAGAUGGUUUCGGCUAUCACUUAAGGAUGGGCCCGCGGCGCAUUAGCUAGUUGGUGAGGUAACGGCUCACCAAGGCCACGAUGCGUAGCCGACCUGAGAGGGUGAUCGGCCACACUGGGACUGAGACACGGCCCAGACUCCUACGGGAGGCAGCAGUAGGGAAUCUUCCGCAAUGGACGAAAGUCUGACGGAGCAACGCCGCGUGAGUGAAGAAGGUUUUCGGAUCGUAAAGCUCUGUUGUUAGGGAAGAACAAGUACCAUAGUAACUGAUGGUACCUUGACGGUACCUAACCAGAAAGCCACGGCUAACUACGUGCCAGCCGCCGCCGUAACAC